rnacentral:rRNA from 1 species
AAUGAACGCUGGCGGCAUGCCUAACACAUGCAAGUCGAACGAAGGCUUCGGCCUUAGUGGCGCACGGGUGCGUAACGCGUGGGAAUCUGCCUUUUGCUUCGGAAUAACAGUUAGAAAUGACUGCUAAUACCGGAUGAUGUCUUCGGACCAAAGAUUUAUCGGCAAGAGAUGAGCCCGCGUAGGAUUAGGUAGUUGGUGGGGUAAAGGCCUACCAAGCCGACGAUCCUUAGCUGGUCUGAGAGGAUGAUCAGCCACACUGGGACUGAGACACGGCCCAGACUCCUACGGGAGGCAGCAGUGGGGAAUAUUGGACAAUGGGGGCAACCCUGAUCCAGCAAUGCCGCGUAAGUGAUGAAGGCCUUAGGGUUGUAAAGCUCUUUUACCCGGGAUGAUAAUGACAGUACCGGGAGAAUAAGCUCCGGCUAACUCCGUGCCAGCCGCCGCCGUAAUAC